UGCGUCUGGUAGCUCAGUUGGUUAGAGCACCACCUUGACAUGGUGGGGGUCGAUGGUUCGAGUCCAUUCAGACGCACCCA
rnacentral:tRNA from 1 species